GCCUGCAUGACAUAAUGGUUUGAGUGCUGGACUGUUACUCUGGAGACCAAGGUUCGAUUCCCAACUCAGCCC